rnacentral:rRNA from 1 species
AGAGUUUGAUCCUGGCUCAGAAUCAACGCUGGCGGCGUGCCUAACACAUGCAAGUCGAACGCGAAAGUCCCGCAAGGGAUUAGUAGAGUGGCAAACGGGUGAGUAACACGUGGGUGACCUACCUUCGAGUGGGGGAUAACCUUCCGAAAGGAGGGCUAAUACCGCAUGACAUCCCAUGUUUGGAUACAUGGACAUCAAAGCCGGGGAUCGCAAGACCUGGCGCUUGAAGAGGGACCUGCGCCCGAUUAGCUAGUUGGUGGGGUAACGGCCCACCAAGGCUUCGAUCGGUAUCCGGCCUGAGAGGGCGGACGGACACACUGGAACUGAGACACGGUCCAGACUCCUACGGGAGGCAGCAGUGGGGAAUUGUUCGCAAUGGGCGCAAGCCUGACGACGCAACGCCGCGUGGAGGAUGAAGACUUUCGGGUCGUAAACUCCUUUCGACCGAGAUGAAUAGUUCACGACUUAACACGUUGUGGAUCUGACAGUAUCGAGGGAAGAAGCCCCGGCUAACUCCGUGCCAGCAGCCGCGGUA